rnacentral:rRNA from 2 species
UGACCUCGGAUCAGGUAGGGAUACCCGCUGAACUUAGCAUAUCAAUAAGCGGAGGA